UCGGGUUGUAAAGCACUUUUGUCCGGAAAGAAAACUUCUGCCCUAAUACGGCGGGAGGAUGACGGUACCGGAAGAAUAAGCACCGGCUAACUACGUGCCAGCAGCGCGGUAAUCGUAGGGUGCGAGCGUUAAUCGGAAUUACUGGGCGUAAAGCGUGCGCAGGCGGUUCGUUAAGACAGAUGUGAAAUCCCCGGGCUUAACCUGGGAACUGCAUUUGUGACUGGCGAGCUAGAGUAUGGCAGAGGGGGGUAGAAUUCCACGUGUAGCAGUGAAAUGCGUAGAGAUGUGGAGGAAUACCGAUGGCGAAGGCAGCCCCCUGGGCCAAUACUGACGCUCAUGCACGAAAGCGUGGGGAGCAAACAGGAUUAGAUACCCUGGUAGUCCACGCCCUAAACGAUGUCAACUAGUUGUUGGGGAUUCAUUUCCUUAGUAACGUAGCUAACGCGUGAAGUUGACCGCCUGGGGAGUACGGUCGCAAGAUUAAAACUCAAAGGAAUUGACGGGGACCCGCACAAGCGGUGGAUGAUGUGGAUUAAUUCGAUGCAACGCGAAAAACCUUACCUACCUUGACAUGGUCGGAACCCUGCUG
rnacentral:rRNA from 1 species